UUUUUGUCGCCUCCUAUCCAUUCCCGUUGUUGGGUCUGUCUUCCUCCAGUUCCCCAUUCUCCUCGCUGCUUCCGUUCUCACGCAGACUCGCCUCCUCGUCACUGUCGCCUGCCUUUGCUUGCCGCCCUUCAUUUUGGCGGCUCUAUGUCCACGCCGACCUUUGGUUCCUGUCCUUCCUCCUGAUGCCGGCCUCAACGCCCUCCUGCACCAACACGCUUUGCCGCCUUCGGCACCUCCUCGUCUCCUGCGGUCCAACCCUAGCUCGAUUUGCCCAGAGCCCUCUUCCUCUCUCAUCCCGACUGCCGUAGCUCCAGGUGCUGCGCACGCAGCGUGGUCCUGACGGCGUCCGGCGGGGGUAGCGUGGCCCUUCGAUGGCGAGGACCACACCAGGUUUUUCCUGGCUGCGGAUGGAUGAAACUGAUGUCUGAUCUUUGCCUUUCUGAUUUGAUCGUUGGGGUAUAGACUUAAAGGAAGCUAGGUUCCUCUGUAGAAAUUGACCUACGCUCAAAAAUCUGGAGCUAGAAGUAAUCCAUUCAUAGUUGCACGGAGUUGACGUUAACAGUUCUUAGUUACAACGGGUGUGGUGCUUGUGACAUGAUUAAUGCUACAAUGAUUUUGUGAUCCUACCAUGUACUCCUGGAGAGGUGCUAAUGCAAGAUUCUAACUCCAGAAUGCAAUUUCAUCCAGGCUAUUCCAAAAAAGGUGAAAAUCCAUCCUUGUUGGUCCAGUUUUUCCUUGUCUGCUAGUGCAUUUUAGUUUGCUCCUAUUAAAUCUGAUACAUUCCUGCCUCAUGUUCUAAGGUUGGAAACUAUUGCAUGAUGUGUUUCCACCAAGUGAAUGGAAUUUAGGAUUUUGGUAAUUAGAUCUCAUGCACAAUUUCUAUCAGUACA